UACGUAGGGGGCAAGCGUUGUCCGGAAUCAUUGGGCGUAAAGAGCGUGUAGGCGGUCCGGUAAGUCGGCUGUGAAAGUCCAGGGCUCAACCCUGGGAUGCCGGUCGAUACUGCCGGACUAGAGUUCGGAAGAGGCGAGUGGAAUUCCCGGUGUAGCGGUGAAAUGCGCAGAUAUCGGGAGGAACACCAAUGGCGAAGGCAGCUCGCUGGGACGUUACUGACGCUGAGGUGCGAAAGCUGGGGGAGCGAACGGG
rnacentral:rRNA from 1 species